rnacentral:rRNA from 1 species
GAUGAACGCUGGCGGCGUGCCUAAUACAUGCAAGUCGAGCGAACAGACGAGGAGCUUGCUCCUCUGACGUUAGCGGCGGACGGGUGAGUAACACGUGGAUAACCUACCUAUAAGACUGGGAUAACUUCGGGAAACCGGAGCUAAUACCGGAUAAUAUAUUGAACCGCAUGGUUCAAUAGUGAAAGACGGUUUUGCUGUCACUUAUAGAUGGAUCCGCGCCGCAUUAGCUAGUUGGUAAGGUAACGGCUUACGAAGGCAACGAUGCGUAGCCGACCUGAGAGAGUGAUCGGCCACACUGGAACUGAGACACGGUCCAGACUCCUACGGGAGGCAGCAGUAGGGAAUCUUCCGCAAUGGGCGAAAGCCUGACGGAGCAACGCCGCGUGAGUGAUGAAGGUCUUCGGAUCGUAAAACUCUGUUAUUAGGGAAGAACAAAUGUGUAAGUAACUAUGCACGUCUUGACGGUACCUAAUCAGAAAGCCACGGCUAACUACGUG